GGAGUGAGUGCGCAAAUCGUCAGUGCCUGGAGAGCGUUUGAAUGACAUUCAAGAGGUCGUCGGUUCGAUUCCGAUUGGCUCCACCA
rnacentral:tRNA from 1 species